rnacentral:lncRNA from 1 species
UUAUUCCUAUUAAAAAGCCCUCUUUCCUAUUAUCGAACUUAUUCUUUUUAUCUCCAACUGUAUAUUUCAAGCAAGAUUGUAAAAGGCUACCUUAAGGCACGCUUUCUGCCUAGGCAUAGGCUAAAUGCAGUGAUGGCUCUGGUAAAAAGCAAGCAGGCACAAAAAUUGCACAGGAGGAGGGAAAAGCUUAAGCCUCAGGAGCUUAGUUGAUAAGUCCUCAGGUUUUGGAUUUCUUCAGUGUUCAUGGGAUCUAAAUGGAAAUGUUCCCUAUAAAACAUUUGUUGGAAGCUGCUGUUCAAGCAAUGCAUGGUUGUGAAUUCUAAUCCCAACUGAAACCCAGGCUUAAAGGUCUUUUGUGCAUGCUGGAUGAUUGUCUAAACGGCGGGAGUUUAACAACAGUAGGAACGUGACAGACAAAGACAAACAUGCCCGGUACAAAUAUAUCACGGACGUUCCAAGUUAAAGGAUAUCAGGCGUGCUAGAGACUUUUUCAGCCUUUCAAGUAUAUUUGCAUCUUGUCUGGUUUCGUAUGCAGCCGUGGGACAGGUUUCCUUUCUAAUCUUGGAUGACAAUCUUGUGAUGGAACACUGUGACCGUUGGAUGCACUAAACGUCCUUGGGACCAUACCUAGUGCAUCCAGUUGUAGGUUAUUGUACGGAUGGGAACGCACUUUAUGGCAUGUAAACAUCUCUAUAUUCGGGAAUCUUGAGUUAUGUUUUCCAAUACCAAGUGUCCCAAAAUCUGUAACCUGA